CACGUAGGAGGCGAGCGUUGUCCGGAAUCAUUGGGCGUAAAGAGCGCGCAGGCGGCUUGGCAAGUCGGGUGUGAAAUCCCGGGGCUCAACCCCGGGACUGCAUUCGAUACUGUCAGGCUAGAGGUAGGUAGGGGAGAUCGGAAUUCCUGGUGUAGCGGUGAAAUGCGCAGAUAUCAGGAGGAACACCGGUGGCGAAGGCGGAUCUCUGGGCCGAUACUGACGCUGAGGAGCGAAAGCGUGGGGAGCAAACAGG
rnacentral:rRNA from 1 species